rnacentral:lncRNA from 1 species
CUUGUUGUUUAGAGGGAGAAGAGAAAGCACCAAUUUUGAAAAAUGCUUAAGAAAAUUCUCUAUAGCAACGGUCUACUUUUAAGAGGCAAAAUACUUUAUCAGAGUUUUAUCCUAACAACAUUUAGCCAGCUCCAGUGCCCACUAUCCUUCCUGUCACAGCUAAGAGGAUGGGAAGAAGCUGAAAACACACUUGUGAGGGUCACAGUACGGGACAUGGCUCCACUAGAAGGCUGAGAUUUAAUCAUAAGAUUACCACCGCAUCAACAAUAAUAUAAUACAACAAUAGUGGAUUACAGCUGACAGACUUGCAAGGUGCAGACUCUAUUUAAGGAGGGGUUGCAAGGAAACUCAAAGAUAACAGAGAGACAAAAACAAGGGCACUAGAGGAAUCUAGCUCUGACAGCUACAGAAAACUUUAAACACAGUCUUACUGCUUAGACUGAUGUAAAGCCUCGCACUAAUGGCUAUUCAUCUCAGUUCUUCUUACUUGAUGCAUCAUAUCAUGUCUGACUUCCAGCAAAAAAUUACAAGGCAUGGGGCUGGGUUUGUGGCUCAGUGGUAGAGCAAUUGCCUAGCAUGUGUGAGGCACUGGGUUCUAUCCUCAGCAGCACAUAAAAAUAAAUAAAUAAAUAAAGGUAUUGUAUCCUUUUACAACUAAAAUAAAAAAAUUACAAGGCAUUUAACAGGCAAGAAAAACAACCUGAAGACUCUCAUUCGUGAUACAUAUUUUGUAAUCAUUAGGGAAUUUACAGAACUAUUGUUGGUAUGUUAAGGAGUGUAAUAGAAAAAGUAGACAACAUGGAAGAAUACAGGGGCUGUGUACAUAGAUUCUAAUAAAGAAAAAGAAAUGUUAGAAAUUAAAAGUGUAAUGGUAAAUGUAAUGGUAAUGGAGAAUGGUUUUGUUGACCCGUCAGUAAACUCAAUGUUACUGAGGAAAGAAUUACUGAAUUACUUAAAUAUGUACUAGUAGAAAAAUUGACAGACUGAAAUGCAAAGAGAACAAAACAAAACAAAAAAACCUAAAACCAAAACAAAAUCCGAGUAUCUAAGAACCAUGGGGGCAAUUUCAAAAGAUGCGAAAUACAUGUACUUUGAAUACCAGAAAGAAAAGGAAGAAGUUAGCAGAAGAAAUGUUUGAAAGAAAUGAUGUCUAAGAAUUUUCCCACAGUGCUGCAAGUUGGCACAACCACUAUGGAAAGCAGUAUGGAGAUUCCUCAGAAAACUUGUAAUGGAGCCACCAUUUGACCCAGCUAUCCUACUUCUAGGUUUAUACCCAAAGGACUUAAAAUCAGCAUACUACAGUAAUGCAGCCAUAUCAAUGUUUAUUGCAGCUCAAUUCACAUAGCUAAACUAUGGAACCAACCUAGAUGUCCUUCAAUGGAUGAAUGUUUAAAGAAAAUGUGAUAUAUAUAUUCAAUGGAAUAUUACUCAGUUUUAAAGAAGAAUGAAAUUAUGGCACUUGCCAGUAAAUGGAUGGAGUUGGAGACUAUCAUGCUAAGCAAAAUAAGCCAAUCCCCAAAAACCAAAGGCCAAAUGUUUUCUCUACUAUGCAGAUGCUAAUUCACAAUAAGUUGGGUGGGGCACUAGAGAAGAAUAGAGUUAUCUUAGAUUAGGGAAGUGAAG